rnacentral:lncRNA from 1 species
AUGGAGAGGUUGGCUAGCGAAGAGGAGCCCCUAGCCUCCACAGAGGAGGUCCCCAUGGAGAGGUUGGCGAGCGAGGAGGAGGAGGCUGCAUCUGCAUCUGAGGAGGUGGUAGCUGAGGGGGAAUCUGUGGAGUCUGCAGAGACUUCAGAGGAGGUCCAAGCAUCAGAGGAGAGGGUGGAGGAAGCUGCCUCGUCUGAGGAGGAAGAACUGGAGGAAGCUGCCUYGUCUGAAGAAGAAGUAGUGGAGGAAGCUGCCUCGUCUGAAGAAGAAGUAGUGGAGGAAGCUCCCUCGUCUGAAGAAGAGGUUAUAGAGGAGGUUGAGGCAGAACAUGAAGCUGAGGAAGAAGAGGUUGUAGAGGAAGAGGAAGCAGUUAAGGAAGCUGUGGCCAUGGAGGAGGAAGUGGAUGUAGUUGAAGAGGAAGUAGAGGAAACAAUAGAAGAACUUGCAGUAGAGGAACCUGUUGUUGAGGAGGUAACGACUGAGGAGGUUGCCAAGGAGGAGGCAGUAGAGGAGGCAGUAGAGGAGGCAGUAGAGGGGGCAGUAGAGGAGGCAGUAGAGGAGGCAGUAGAGGAGACAGUAGAGGAGUCAGUAGAGGAGGCAGUAGAGGAAGAAGUAGUAUUAGUGGCUGAACCUGUGGUGGAACCCAAGCUGGUUGAAUCCGAGCCAGAACCUGCGGUGGAACCUGAAGUGGUUGAACCCGAGCCAGAGGCGGUGGUCAAGGAGGUGGCUCCAGAACCAGAGCCUGUUGUAGAGGAAUCUGCUCCGGAACCCACUCCGGAACCUGCGGAAGCCKCUCCAGAACCUGUAGAAGCAGGUGAGGUGGUUGUGGAGGCAGUGAAGGAGGAGGAGCUGGUGGAGGAGGUGGCAGCUGUUUUGGAGGAGGUACAUGUUUUUGAGGAGGAAGCGGUGGUGGAAGAGGAGGCACCUGUUGUUGUUGUUAAGGAGGAGGCGACUGUUGUUGAGGAGGCGCCUGUUGAGGAUGUGACAGUGGAGGAUGCACCAGCAAAGGCAGAAGCACCAGUAAAAGGUAUAGAGUACUGCGUUAUUAGAAUUUAUCAUUUGAACGAGAAAAACGUUAUUGUCCAAACAAUUUGGAAACAAACUUGUUUAUAUCAAUGUGUCGAUAUUUAUUCUUUCUAUACUAAAUGUGAUUGCUCUGGCUAA